UCCUGUGACUACUAAGGCCUAUGUCUGCUGUGGGGACCAUAAAACUGAUUGUGUAUGUGAGAAAACUUGCUCAACAGGAUGUAGGCAAGUUGGGGGUUUAUCACAGCAUCUUGGCAGUUGGGAGGGUUCCUGCGGGGGAAGGUGAGAACGCAGGAUAAAAGAACACGAGCAGACAUGUGAAGGGGUGGGCAGCUGAGAGGGGCAGCAGAGAGGGAGCUGGGCAGCUGAGAGGAGGCAGCUAGAGAGCUGGAGAAGCCAGAGGAGCCUGGGACAAGACAUGUGAGGAAUGAAGACCAGAGGGGAAGGCAGAGAUGAAGCCGAACUCUAUUCCCCUGCCUUUUUGCAAAUGGUUCUGGUUAAUUCUUAGCACUAAGUCUGGCCACACGCACAGCUUUCAUCCCAUUUGUUCCUUUUCUAGCCAAACUGUACAGACGAUUGAAAGUGUCGGCCUCAGCUGCAAACUGUCUGGCUGGCUGCUAGGUACAUUAAACAGUUUUUAGGACAUAGACUACAGAUUACAGACCUCUGUGGAUCUUAUUGGUGGACGAGCUGUUCCUGUUUAUUACUCUCCCAAACCGUAAUAGCUUUAUCAACAUAAAACCUGAAGUGACAUCAUCAUGAACCAAAAGGGAUCUCAUGCAAAGAUUGCUGGCUGGGGUUUCUGUACCCGUUAAGAUGCUUUGCAUAUUGGCUGCAGGAGUCAUUCCUAUAUUCACCGGAAACCUCAAACAAUGAUGCGCUAUUCUCUUAUGAAAGACAAUUGUUGCACAUUAAUUAGCUGGAAUUUUAAUAGUUGAGUUCAAAUUCUGAUCUCCUUUGGAUUGGCAAUGUGCAUAAAUAAAUCAACCGAAAUGAAAGUUUGGAAUGCAAGGCUAUUGCCAGAAAAUAUCAGACUCUUAAAGUAACUAUUGCUUUCAAGCUCCAACUGAGUAAGCACCCAAAUGUCAUAUAGUUACCUUUAACCUGGGUUCCCAAUGACUAGGGACCACUGUAGGGAAAUUAAGCUGAUACACAUUAAAACACACAUUAAAAACAUUUGUAUUGGCCCUGGUUGUGGAUAUUCAUCUUAGUUAUCCAAGUUAUCUGAGGAUAAUGUUAAUGAUGAAGCUAUAAAACAUGUUAUACAGGCCCUCUCCUAUUGAUUUUUCAGUCUCUUAUUUAAACUACAUUCUGGUUGCUAGGGUAAAAUGGACCAUAGUGGCUGAUAUUCCAAACUGGAGAGCCACUGAACCUAUGAUUGUAAUGAAACAUGGCAUUUUUUCGAAAACAUCCAAAAUCUUGCCAAAAGUUCUGCUGCAGACACAGAGAAAAAAUAAAAUGAAAUUUUGGAUCUGCUUUGAUGUCAGCAGAGUGCCACUUCCUAGCCCCUUACGUAAUGCCGCCGUGUUUUUCUUAGCUUGUAUCCCUUGGACGAUGAUAUAGCAUCAAGUCUGGAAUAAUUCCACGUGACCUAAAAGCAAUCUCUCACAGCCCUGGCACCUAACGUACAGUAAAUUUAUGAAUUCCA